CUAUCAAGAGAUUCCUUAGUCUAUCAAACUCCUUUAGAACUCCUUCUCUUCCUCUCAAUUAAGGAAAGAAAUGUGGAGGGAUGCCAAGAAGGGAAAGAAUACAGCAAAAAGGAAAGACAUGCAUGGCUAUGGAGCAAGAGGUGGCACAGGUCCCUGUGCCGGUUCAGAGCCCCACUGACUUCAAAGAGACUCUGUGUGGACAUUGUUCUGCAUUUGCCAGAAUGGUUCCAGGACUGGGGCCUAAUAUUCUACCACUGUUUUAAACUAGAGUUAUUUCGUC